GUAAACGAACGCUACAAACUAACGGUUCAGUGAUUCAUGGUUGUAGUGUAGCAAGCCAACUACAGCUACAUUUGCCUACAUGUAUGCCUAGAGUAGCAUCGUUGGUCAGAGGGCGAGCCGAUGUCAGGUCGUUGGAACCAAGGAAAGUGGAAAUGAUGCCGUUCUGGUCCACCUUCCUGAUUGUGGUGCCAUCAACAAAAUAUAUCAGGCCAUUCUUGCCCACGGCGAUGCCUGUUGAGAUCAGAUGUGCCGUUGCUUAGCGCCACCCAAGACGAUUGUG